rnacentral:rRNA from 1 species
GAUGAACGCUGGCGGCGUGCCUAAUACAUGCAAGUCGAGCGAAGCGGGGACGGGUGAGUAACACGUGGAUAACCUCCUAUACGACUGGGUUAACUCCGGGAAACCGGAGCUAAACGCGCUACUUAUAUUUGGAUCCUCGCUGGAUUAGCUAGUUGGUAAGGUAACGGCUGACCAGGGCAACGAUGCAUAGCCGACCUGAGAGGGUGAUCGGCCACACUGGAACUGAGACACGGUCCAGACUCCUACGGGAGGCAGCAGUAGGGAAUCUUCCGCAAUGGGCGAAAGCCUGACGGAGCAACGCCGCGUGAGUGAUGAAGGUCUUCGGAUCGUAAAACUCUGUGAUUAGGGAAGCGUUACCGAAUCAGAAAGCCACGGCUAACUACGUGCCAGCAGCCGCGGUAAUUC